GGAUGUUAUGCAAAAUAUAUAAAGAACUCUUACAUUUCAAUAAGAAAACAACCUAUGAUUGGGCUGAUCUGGCUGGCUAGGCGGGUGUCCUCUUCCUCCCUCACCGCUCCAUGUGCGUCCCUCCCGAAACUGCGUGGUUAGUCGAAGAGGACGACCUUCCCCGACAGAGGAGGACCGUUCUUUGGUCAAGGGUAUACGAGUAGCUACGCUCCCCUGCUAGAACCUCCAAACAAGCUCUCAAGAAAACAACCCAAUUAAAAAGUAGGCUCUUCUCCUGGAGAGAGCUGGAACCCAUUAUAUUAAGUGAAGUAUCCAAAGAAUGGAAAAACAAGCAUCACAUGUACUU
rnacentral:snRNA from 1 species